UACAGAGGGGGCAAGCGUUGUUCGGAAUUACUGGGCGUAAAGGGCGCGUAGGCGGCCUUCUAAGUCGAACGUGAAAUCCCCGGGCUCAACCCGGGAACUGCGUCCGAUACUGGGAGGCUUGAAUCCGGGAGAGGGAUGCAGAAUUCCAGGUGUAGCGGUGAAAUGCGUAGAUAUCUGGAGGAAUACCGGUGGCGAAGGCGGCAUCCUGGACCGGCAUUGACGCUGAGGAGCGAAAGCCAGGGGAGCAAACGGG
rnacentral:rRNA from 1 species